GACGAACGCUGGCGGCGUGCUUAACACAUGCAAGUCGAACGGAAAGGCCCUGCUUUUGUGGGGUGCUCGAGUGGCGAACGGGUGAGUAACACGUGAGUAACCUGCCCUUGACUUUGGGAUAACUUCAGGAAACUGGGGCUAAUACCGGAUAGGAGCUCCUGCUGCAUGGUGGGGGUUGGAAAGUUUCGGCGGUUGGGGAUGGACUCGCGGCUUAUCAGCUUGUUGGUGGGGUAGUGGCUUACCAAGGCUUUGACGGGUAGCCGGCCUGAGAGGGUGACCGGCCACAUUGGGACUGAGAUACGGCCCAGACUCCUACGGGAGGCAGCAGUGGGGAAUAUUGCACAAUGGGCGGAAGCCUGAUGCAGCAACGCCGCGUGCGGGAUGACGGCCUUCGGGUUGUAAACCGCUUUCGCCUGUGACGAAGCGUGAGUGACGGUGAUGGGUAAAGAAGCACCGGCUAACUGCGUG
rnacentral:rRNA from 1 species